rnacentral:rRNA from 1 species
UGGGGAAUUUUGGACAAUGGGGGCAACCCUGAUCCAGCCAUGCCGCGUGAGUGAUGAAGGCCUUAGGGUUGUAAAGCUCUUUUAUCCGGGAAGAUAAUGACUGUACCGGAAGAAUAAGCCCCGGCUAACUUCGUGCCAGCAGCCGCGGUAAUACGAAGGGGGCUAGCGUUGCUCGGAAUCACUGGGCGUAAAGGGCGCGUAGGCGGCCGAUCAAGUCAGAGGUGAAAGCCCAGGGCUCAACCCUGGAAUUGCCUUUGAUACUGUUCGGCUCGAGACCGGAAGAGGUAAGUGGAACUGCGAGUGUAGAGGUGAAAUUCGUAGAUAUUCGCAAGAACACCAGUGGCGAAGGCGGCUUACUGGUCCGGUUCUGACGCUGAGGCGCGAAAGCGUGGGGAGCAAAC